UGAGAAGCAUUCAAGGGCUGGGCAAG
rnacentral:misc_RNA from 1 species